CUGAUCAGCAUGCCGCGUGAGUGAUGAAGGCCUUCGGGUUGUAAAGCUCUUUUGUCCGGGAAGAUAAUGACGGUACCCAUAGAAGAAGCCCCGGCCUACUCCGUGCCAACAGCCGCCGUAAUACUAAGGGGGCUAGCGUUGUUCGAAAUUACUGGUGGUAG
rnacentral:rRNA from 1 species